AGAGUUUGAUCCUGGCUCAGGAUGAACGCUAGCGGCAGGCCUAACACAUGCAAGUCGAGGGGUAACAGUUCCAAGCAAUUGGAAGCUGACGACCGGCGCACGGGUGCGUAACGCGUAUGCAACCUACCUUUAACUGGGAGAUAGCCCGGAGAAAUCCGGAUUAAUAUCCCAUAAUAUUUAAAAUAGGCAUCUAUUUUAAAUUAAAGCUUCGGCGGUUUUAGAUGGGCAUGCGUGACAUUAGUUAGUUGGUGAGGUAACGGCUCACCAAGACAACGAUGUCUAGGGGUUCUGAGAGGAUUAUCCCCCACACUGGUACUGAGACACGGACCAGACUCCUACGGGAGGCAGCAGUGAGGAAUAUUGGUCAAUGGACGAAAGUCUGAACCAGCCAUGCCGCGUGCAGGAUGACGGCCCUAUGGGUUGUAAACUGCUUUUAUAUGGGAAGAAACCUUUCUACGUGUAGAGAGCUGACGGUACCAUACGAAUAAGGACCGGCUAACUCCGUGCCAGCAGCCGCGGUAAUACGGAGGGUCCAAGCGUUAUCCGGAUUUAUUGGGUUUAAAGGGUGCGCAGGCGGAUCGAUAAGUCAGUGGUGAAAUCCCCCGGCUCAACCGGGGAACUGCCAUUGAAACUGCCGAUCUAGAGUACAGUUGAAGUAGGCGGAAUGUAGCAUGUAGCGGUGAAAUGCUUAGAUAUGCUACAGAACACCGAUUGCGAAGGCAGCUUACUAAGCUGUAACUGACGCUCAGGCACGAAAGCGUGGGGAGCAAACAGGAUUAGAUACCCUGGUAGUCCACGCCGUAAACUAUGAUCACUCGUUGUUGGCAAUAUAUCGUCAGCGACUGAACGAAAGUAUUAAGUGAUCCACCUGGGAAGUACGAUCGCAAGGUUGAAACUCAAAGGAAUUGACGGGGGCCCGCACAAGCGGUGGAGCAUGUGGUUUAAUUCGAUGAUACGCGAGGAACCUUACCUGGGCUUAAAUGUUAGACGACAGUUUCGGAAACGAAAUCUUCCUUCGGGACGUCUUACAAGGUGCUGCAUGGUUGUCGUCAGCUCGUGCCGUGAGGUGUCGGGUUAAGUCCCAUAACGAGCGCAACCCCUAUUCUUAGUUGCCAUCAGGUCAUGCUGGGGACUCUAAGAAAACUGCCUACGCAAGUAGUGAGGAAGGUGGGGAUGACGUCAAAUCAGCACGGCCCUUAUGUCCAGGGCUACACACGUGCUACAAUGGCCGGUACAGAGGGUUGCUACC
rnacentral:rRNA from 1 species